UACAGAGGUCUCAAGCGUUGUUCGGAUUCAUUGGGCGUAAAGGGUGCGUAGGCGGCGCGGUAAGUCGGGUGUGAAAUCUCGGAGCUUAACUCCGAAACUGCAUUCGAUACUGCGGUGCUUGAGGACUGGAGAGGAGACUGGAAUUCAUGGUGUAGCAGUGAAAUGCGUAGAGAUCAUGAGGAAGACCAGUGGCGAAGGCGGGUCUCUGGACAGUUCCUGACACUGAGGCACGAAGGCCAGGGGAGCAAAACGGG
rnacentral:rRNA from 1 species